rnacentral:rRNA from 1 species
UACGAAGGGUGCAAGCGUUACCCGGAAUUAUUGGGCGUAAAGCGUCCGCAGGUGGCUGUUCAAGUCUGCUGUCAAAGCGCAGAGCUUAACUCUGUACAGGCGGUGGAAACUGAAGAGCUAGAGUAUGGUAGGGGUAGAGGGAAUUCCCGGUGUAGCGGUGAAAUGCGUAGAUAUCGGGAAGAACACCAGUGGCGAAAGCGCUCUACUGGGCCAUAACUGACACUGAGGGACGAAAGCUAGGGGAGCGAAAGGG